GACAUCGCUGAACACAAAUAUUAGUGUUUAAAAACUGGAAAACGUAUCACAACAAUUAUAUCAGUAAAAGUGCUGUUUGUGUGUGAGUGAAAAAUGCAAAAAAAGUAACUUUCACUGACAAUAUCAUCGCUGUGAUAUGUUUUACUGUUUUGAAUCACUAAUAUUUGUGUUCAGCGAAGUC